GCGAAGAACCUUACCCACCUUUGACAUGUACGGAAUCCUUUAGAGAUAGAGGAGUGCUCGAAAGAGAACCGUAACACAGGUGCUGCAUGGCUGUCGUCAGCUCGUGUCGUGAGAUGUUGGGUUAAGUCCCGCAACGAGCGCAACCCUUGCCAUUAGUUGCUACGAAAGGGCACUCUAAUGGGACUGCCGGUGACAAACCGGAGGAAGGUGGGGAUGACGUCAAGUCCUCAUGGCCCUUAUAGGUGGGGCUACACACGUCAUACAAUGGCUGGUACAGAGGGUUGCCAACCCGCGAGGGGGAGCUAAUCCCAUAAAGCCAGUCGUAGUCCGGAUCGCAGUCUGCAACUCGACUGCGUGAAGUCGGAAUCGCUAGUAAUCGCGGAUCAGAAUGUCGCGGUGAAUACGUUCCCGGGCCUUGUACACA
rnacentral:rRNA from 1 species